GCUGCCUUGUUUUAUCCUUUUUGCAGGCUGCAUUCCUCUAUGCUGCACCUAUUUGCAUCUCAGAUGUAUAAUUUUGGAUCAUUCUAGGAUAUGAAACUCUCCAUAGUUCCAUGGCAACUGUUAUUAGUUAUAUAACAAUUCUGCUUUAUUUUGACAUAUCUUGUACUUGUUGUGUUGAUGCUGACAAAAAAAAAAAGAAAAAAGAAGUAGGAGUUGUAGUAAGCUUCUCUUGGUAACUUUAUGGAUAGUGGUAAUUUCUUCUUCAGUUUUUUUUUUUCACUUACUUGAUGUCAACUUAUAACUACAUGUCCUGAUUUACUUUCUAUUACCUUUAGCCAGGUGCUUUGUGCUUCUUUGAAAAUAUUACUGGUUUGGAGUAGCUAAUAGCCCAAGGAGUUAAAAAUUAAUAUAACAAAGUUUUGAUUUCUUUUAUAGAGACCUGUGUGUGUUCCCAGCUGUAGCUGUUGCUCCUCCUUGUUUGUAUGGAGCAAAUCCUCCUUACAUAUGGACCCAUGGAAUGCAACCCCUGCAGUUCAGUGUGGAGGAGCAGAGGUGGUGCAGGUAUUGGUGAUUCAGGUAUUGGCGAUUCAGGUGUUGGUGAUUCGGGUAUUGGUGAUUCAGGUGUUGAUCAUUCAGGUGUUGGUGAUUCAGGUAUUGAUCAUUCAGGUGUUGGUGAUUCAGGUGUUGGUGAUUCAGGUGUUGGUGAUUCAGGUGUUGAUGAUUCGGGUAUUGAACACCCACCACUGCUCACACCUGUGUGCAGGGGCUGUUUCUGAUUGUGAGUGUCACCUGCAGAACCCUCAGGUUCUCACUCAUAACCAGGCAAGCUGGGAGCUCUGGCUGCCCUGCUUUGGCAGUUGAAAGCAGAAGGGACAGCAGGUGCUGAUUUUGACACAGAUGAUUGCAAUGCUCAGCAUCCUGGAGCUUUCCCUGAAUUUCCAUUUCCCCAUGACAGUGAGAGUGAGAGUGGUGCUCACAGCUGGCAUUAUCUGGUAAAAGGAUCUCUUCCUCAAGCUCACAGUGAGUUGAUGCUCAUGGUGGGAGGGAGAAUGCUAAAGGGAAGUCUAAGACAUUUGCAAGAUUCAUUUACAUAAUUUCCUUAUUUAUUGAAGCAAAUUAUGUAUGUAGCUGUAACUCAAAUAUGUAAUUGUAUAUGAAGUAUGUCAUUUGAUGAGGCAUCUAGGGUGUUGCCAAGGAGUAUGCCACUAGUUAUCCUACCUUUAUGAGCAAUUUGUGCUUCAAAUGCAGAUGGUUUUUUGCACAAUAGCCAUUUGAUUAAUUUGCUUUUGCUUUCAUUAUCUGUAGCUAUUUACAUUGUUAGUACUUUAAGUGUAGUUGGUGUUUUUAUGUUUGCAGUUCCUCAGCCUUACUCCAGGGGCUUUUAUUUUGUAGAGUGCCCUGGCAUUGCCUGAGGAGAAAUUGAAAGUAUGCUCCUUUCCCUCCCCAGUAAGAUUCUCUGUGUCCUCUGGGGCCUACAAUUUGAGCAAACAUUACCAAUAUAUUGAAGUUUUUUCUUAUUUUUUAUUCCAAAUUACAUCAUUAUGCUUUCUGUUAGAUGCAGUAUAAAACAUAAAAGAAUACUUUGCCUUAAAGCAACACAAGGCAGCACAACAGAAAGGAUUUGAUUUAGUCACAGACAAGAAAAAUGAUGGAGUAUGUGCAAGAAUAACAACUCAGUCAGGUGGGCUUAGUCAUAGGCCAUGAUGUGAUUACUUGUAAUAGAUCUUUAGGUUUUAUAUGGCUGACUGCACCAUAAAUUAAUAGUUUUAAUGAUAGACAGAUUAAACAUGAGCUGUGUAGAUCUGUAAUAUGGCAGUCAGAUAACUUGAAACAUUUGCACACUUAAUGUAGGUUGGGGAAGUAAUAAGAAAGCAAUUUUUCCAAUCUUCUCACUCUGUUAAAAAAAGUUUGUAUAGAGAUUUAUCCUAUAUUAAUGUCAAUUUGUAAUUAAGUUGCUUGUUUCCCCAUUCUAGGAAUUCAUAAAAAGCUUCAACCAAGACAAGUGAUCCUUCUGUGCUGUCCUGUCUUCCCCCACUCCCUGCACAGGUGUCAGUCACAUAAAUGUGAUUCCUCUUGUCUUCUGUGACACUGAUGGACACAGAGAUGGCAUGGUGUGACAACAGUGCAACAGGCAGAGAUCCCCACACAUACAGGUUUGCAUAUAAUUCUAUUGAAGAGAGGCUGUUGAAAAAGAGUAUUAAACAUGAUUCAACAACUGGCUGCUCAGGGAGGGGAUUGUUCAACAGACUUUUUAUCCCAGGUACUGUAACAUUAAGAAUGUGAGCAGUUAUUUGAUGAUACAUAAAAAAAUAAGUGUUUUACUAGAUCUGAGACAGAAUUUUGAAAAGGUAGUGGUUUCUUUAUUUCUAGGCUUGAUUGGGAACCAGUGAUGUGUGUUCACAGUUAAAUUGAGUAGAAAUCCUGAACUGUCAGCUCAUAUAGAAAAUCAGAAGGUCUUGGAUCCUAUCAGUGGUGCGGUUAACUCUUGCAACAAUGUUUAUCACUCCCCAAAGCAACACCAAAAUUGUUACAUAAAAACCAUUGCAGGUCCAGAGGGAAAGGAGAGUUUAAGUUGAAACUCGCUUUGCAUUGUGAGGACUUGGGGGGUUUUGGGGUCCUUUUUGUUGAUUUUUUUUUCCCUUUUAAUUCCUUAUUGCUGUUAGAGUACUAUGGGAGUUUUGACUAAGCAAAAACAUAACUA